GGUGGAGCUGGGGGACUGGUAGCAGAAUGUCGCACUCGUUGAAGAUGUUGCCCUGCAAGAAGAGAAGAGCUGUUGCUGUGGAGCCCCGGAGUCCUUCCGUCGACUUGAGCUCUCACAAGGAGUGUGCAGCUCUCCUCUCAGAUGCAGAGUCUGUUAAACUGGAGUCUUCUAAUCCUAGUGGCGCUGAGGAGCUCAGAGACUCUGUAUCAAAGCACUGGCGAGUGAGCAAAAUCACAGAUACUCAGCCUGUGUCAGCUGCCGAGAAGACUGGUGCACAGCCUGUGUGUUCUGUAAGCACUGCUAUCAUACUGGAUGAGGAGUUGCCCUUUUUGGAAACCACUGAUGGUGGAGCCUCUAAGGGAAACAUAAUCCCAGGAAAAGGGACCUCCCAGGUGUGUAGCCAAAGGGCUUGGAAAGAACCAGUGGAGAAUUUCCUGAGAAGUGGGAAAAGAAUCCCAAUGAAGCGUAGAUCAGAUCUCAGUCAGGACAGUGGUGAAGGUCAACUGAACACAAAAGAAACUGCGACGGCAAAUGAAUUUCUUGAGCAGGGUAAGGAGCAAGAAUUCACUGAAGAAGGGAAAUCUCUUAAACUGCAUACAGGGGUAGAAGUAAUUUUGCAGACACACCCCCAUCCAUCUGACAACCACUCUCCAAAACAAUUGGCCCAAGUGAAAAGUUCCUUGCUGCUGCCCAUUAAAGCUCCUGCCACGAUCAAGACAUCGAAAAACACCAAAACAGGGGAGCAGCUGCAGCAGACUGAUGAGGAAACUGAGGACGUUGGGCUGUUUAUUCCACUGGAGGAGCAAGAUUUAGAGGAAGGUGAGAGGAGGAAGAGGAGGAGGAAGGCAACCAAACGUAAACGUGAAGAGAGAGGCCAAGAAGAGGAGGCGUCCUUGGCUUGUGACAUCAAACUAGAUGACAUGCUUGAUCGCACCUUAGAAGAUGGAGCAAAACAGCACAACUUGACCGUCGUCAAUGUGCGAAAUAUCCUCCAUGAAGUGAUCACAAAUGAGCAUGUGGUUGCCAUGAUGAAAGCAGCCAUCAGUGAGACAGAAGACAUGCCCAUGUUUGAGCCAAAAAUGACUCGCUCUAAACUGAAGGAAGUUGUGGAGAAAGGAGUGGUAAUCCCUGCAUGGAAUAUUUCUCCAAUUAAGAAGGCUAAUGAGAUCAAGCCUCCUCAGUUUGUGGACAUUCCCCUUGAAGAAGAUGAUUCAUCUGAUGAGGAAUACCAGCCUGAGGAUGAGGAUGAGGAUGAGACUGCUGAAGAGAGCUUGUUGGAAAGUGAUGUGGAGAGCACUGCCUCUUCUCCUCGGGGAGCAAAGCGAUCUAGGACAAGGCGAUCAUCAGAUAUGAUAGAGACAGAUGAAGAGGGAACAACCCUAUCUGAGGUUGAGAAGGUUUCUACACCCCUUAUUAGGCAUAUUAGUGCUGAAGUGGUUCCCAUGGGACCUCCACCACCACCUAAACCGAAACAGAGCAGGGAUAGCACUUUUAUGGAGAAGCUGCAUGCUGUGGAUGAGGAACUGGCCUCCAGCCCAGUGUGCAUGGAUUCCUACCAGUCUUUGGAUGAUAGCCUCAUUGCUUUCCGCACUCGAUCAAAGAGACCCUUGAAGGAUGUUCCUCUUGGUCAAUUGGAGGCUGAGCUCCGUGCCCCAGAUAUCACACCAGAUAUGUAUGACCCAAAUACUGCAGAUGAUGAAGACUGGAAAAGGUGGCUUGGGGGACUCAUGAAUGAUGAUGUGGAGAGCGAGGAUGAGGCUGAUGAUGAUGAUGACCCUGAGUAUAACUUCCUGGAAGAUCUGGAUGAACCAGACACAGAAGACUUCAGGAAUGAUCGUGCUGUGAGAAUCACCAAGAAAGAAGUAAAUGAACUGAUGGAGGAGCUGUUUGAGACAUUCCAGGAUGAGAUGGGUUUCUCCAACAUGGAGGAUGAAGGCCCAGAGGAUGAGGACACUGUUGCAGAGUCACGGCCGAAUUUUAACACACCACAGGCACUUAGAUUUGAAGAGCCUCUGGCCAACUUACUCAACGAACAGCACCGGACAGUGAAGGAACAGCUUGAACAGCUGAGAAUAAAGAAAUCUUCGACCAAGCAGCCACAGGAGAUGGAGAGGUCAAAACCUCAAAUUGAGAAGCCACUUCAGACCCUAGUUUUGGACAUGGGGCAGAGAAAGAGGCUGCAUCAGCAAAUGCAGCAGCAUGUCCAGCUCCUGACUCAAAUCCACCUUCUCACCAGCUCCAACCCUAGUCUAAGUUCAGAAGCCAGCACCACGAGGAUGUUUCUGACUGAGCUGAGUAACUUUGCUCACAGUUCCAUGCUCCUUCGUCAGCAGUUCCAUCCCAAGUUUCAAACAGUGUUCCAACCAUGUAACUUGAAGGGAGCGUUGCAGCUCAUUGAAGACUUUCAUGGCCAGGUCAAAGUUGAUUGGAGCCCUCGCAAAACUGUGAAGAAGAGUGCAAAUGAAUUCCCCUGUCUUCCAAAGCAAGUGGCAUGGAUUCUGGCAACGAGAAAAGUCUUUAUGUACCCAGAGCUGUUACCAAUUUGCUCCCUGAAGGCCAAAGCCCCCCAGAACAAGAUUAUCUUCACAAAGGCAGAGGACAAUUUAUUAGCUUUGGGUCUGAAGCACUUUGAAGGGACAGAGUUUCCUAAACCUUUGAUCAGCAAGUAUCUCCUGCCAGCAAAGACUGCGCACCAGCUGACAGUGAGAAUCAAGAACCUCAAUAUGAACCGUGCCCCUGACAAUAUCAUCAGAUAUUAUAAAAGAACAAAGCAGUUGCCGAUUUUGUUCAAGUGUUGUGAGGAAAUUCAGCCUUCUGAGUGCAAACCCCCUGUGGAGAGGGAAGAGCAGCAUUUGCCAUUCUGGCUGAAGGCAAGUUUAUCCUCCAUUCAAAGGGAGCUGAAGCAAUUAGCAGAAGAUGCUGGGGAGGCAGCAGGUUCACCCAGUGCAGAAUCUGCUCUUUUGAGGACAGAAAAAGAAACUUUGGAAUCGGAGUGUGAUGAAAAAUACCCUCUGCUCAUGCCCAAGGGAAUAGUGCUGACACUGAAGCCUCUUGCCAACCGUUUCUCCAGGAGAGCUUGGAGGCGGCAGGGGUCUGCAGCCCUGAAGCCCCUACUCAUUCGACCAAGUCCUUGUCUGCAGCCGAGUUCCAACACUAUUAAUAUUCAGAAAGCUGCUGUAAAGUUACCCCAAUCAGAAGCUCCUCCUAGCAAAGUUGUGGUUCAAAUUCCCCGGUUAAUCCAGCCAGCUACAAUUAUGCAGACUAUGCCAGGAAUGCAGCAUUUGAACAUCCCUUCAGCAGUGGGAAGUGGCGAUUGCUUUGAAUUUCAGAGCGUGCUUUCCACUUUACAAUCUGAUUCCAGAACUUCUCUUCCAGCUGCUAUACCACCAGCACUAGUAUCCUCAACCCCUGUGACUUUUCAGACAAAAAUGAUACCAGCUUUGACUGCCUCAAAAAUCCGCAAACCUUGUGUCCGCAGGGGGCACCAAAAGAAAAAGGGAACAAAAUCCACCCCUCUGAUAAAGGCUGCCCCUUUGAUCCAUCCAGCCCCUGUCAUCUUUACGGUACCUGCUGCUACAGUGAAAGUGGUUAGUAUUGGCAAUGGCUGCAAUAUGAUUCAGCCCAUAAACACAACAGUUGGCAGGGGCACUCAGGCUAUUCCAAUUACAACUUUGUUGGUAAAUCCCACCACCUUCCCAUGCCCAUUAAAUCAGCCUCUAGUGUCCUCUUCUAUUCCUCCCUUGAUAGCCUCUCCUAACUCUGUAGGUCUUCCUGCUUCAUCAACUGCUGAAGACAAAGAGCAGUUGAAUCCAGUCACUUCCCGUCUUGCUGUAAAUGAUGAAAAUUCCUUCCCCAUAGCUGAGCCUAAAGUCGAACCCCAAGAGCUUUACUCUUCAUGUUCUGCCAUCUCCCCCAAGAAGGAACACAGCACAGGUCCUGCUACUCCAGACAAUGACAGCCAGGAGAAGGUUAAAGAGAGUGAGUGUUAUAGUUGGAUAGUUGUGGAGACAAUGGAAAAGGCGGCCUUGGAGCCAUUACCCGUGGACCUCUUACCUCAUCUGGAGGAUUUAGGAGAAACAGUGAAAACUGAACCUGAAGAUUCCAGUGACGCCCUAGAAGAAACAAACCCAACUCAGGAGAAGAAAAACUUGAAUGCUGAAAUAAAGGAGGAGUUCAUACUGGAUCUAGGGCAAGAGCUGGACAUGAAGGUCACAUCUGAGCAUCUGAGUGAACAGAAGGAAAUUAAAAAAGAGUGCACGUCCCAUCAGGAGAAGGGACGAGAAGUAGAGGCACCCACCCAGGAUGAGCAGCAGUUGGAAGACAUUGAUACGGCUGGGGUGGAAAUGAGCCACGAGUCUUCCAAGAAUGCCUCUCAUUCAACAGAUGUUGAUGCAGAGUUCAGUAGUCCAUUGGGGAAACCAGAGGACUCAUCCAGUGUGGAUGGUCAGUCUGUAGGGACACCAGCUGGCCCUGAAGCAGUGGGAGAGAAGGACGGACAAGAAGAGGAAGAGGAGGAGGAUUUCGAUGAUUUUACUCAAGAUGAGGAGGAUGAAGAAGAAAUGUCAUCAGCAUCAGAAGAGUCCGUGCUUUCUGUGCCAGAACUUCAGGAGACAAUGGAAAAACUGACUUGGCUUGCAACAGAGAGGCGUCUAAGCCAGGAGGGAGAUUCUGAGGAAGAGAAUUCCCAGGAAGAGAACUCAGAGCCGGAAGAGGAAGAGGAGGAGGAGGGAGAAGGGGAAGGAAUGGAGAGUUUGCAAAAAGAAGAUGAAAUGACAGAUGAGAUAGCUGAAGAUUUAGCUGAGGAACCCAAAUCUGCCUUCAUUUUUACAAAGGUUGCCCCAGAGGUGGAAACCAACAGAAUGCCACCAGAUGAGAAUGUGAAAGUGCCUGGGAAAAACAGGAACUCCCACAGAGCCAGGAAUAAGAGGGGACGGACUCGUGCCAGCAAAGACACCUCCAAGUUGCUGCUGCUGUAUGAUGAGGAGAUUCUGGAGAGAGACCCUCUCAGGGAACAGAAGGAUUUGGCAUUUGCACAGGCCUAUCUGAACAGGGUGCGCGAAGCUUUGCGGAAUGUGCCUGGGAAGUAUGAAGACUUCCUUCGUGUUAUCUAUGAGUUUGAGACCAGCACCCACAAGCCAACUGCCGUGGAUCUGUAUUCCACUCUCCAGACCCUCCUGCAGGAGUGGCCACAGCUGCUCACAGACUUUGCUGCCUUUCUUUUGCCUGAGCAAGCGCUGGAGUGUGGAUUGUUUGAAGAGCAGCAAGCAUUUGACAAAAGCCGGAAGUUCCUCAGGCAGCUGGAAAUCUGCUUUGCUGAAAAUCCCACUCACCAUCAAAAGAUCAUCAAAGUGCUGCAAAGCUGUGCAGACUGCCUCCCCCAGGACAUUGCAGAGUUGAAGACCCAGAUGUGGCAGCUGCUGAAAGGACAUGACCACCUGCAGGAUGAAUUCUCCAUCUUCUUUGAUCAUUUACGUCCAUCAGCCAGCCGCAUGGGAGACUUUGAGGAGAUCAACUGGACAGAGGAGAAAGAGUAUGAGUUUGAUGGGUUUGAAGAGGUGUCCUUACCAGAUGUAGAAGAGGAGGAGGAAACCCCCAAGAUGCACACAGCCUCGAAAAAUAAAAAGAGGAAAGAGAUUGGAGGCCAGAACAAUGACAAGGAGAUGGAGUGGGUGGAUGGGGUGAAGGAAUGUUCGUGCUCCUGCCAUGAAGGGAGCAGUGACCCCAAACUAAAGAAGAGCAAGAGGAGGACCUGCAGCCAUUCCAGCUGUAAGGUGUGUGAUAGCAAAUCCUAUAAAAAUAAAGAUUCUCAAGAGCUCACUAACAGCCUGACUCAACGAGAGUUGAGCCCUCAGCCUGAAGAAAAGGAGCUUGGGACAUGUAAGGAGCCUGCAGAGGAGUCUCUGGAGUACAGGGAUGAAGUGGAGAAUGGCCAGAGCAGAACAAAAACCAUGUCUAGGAAAGCAGACUCCCUGGCUUCAGGAUCUCAACUAGAAGGACAGUUGAUCUGCUGCAGAGGCGUGUCUUCUGAAGGAGGAUUGCCAAAUAGCAGGGUCCUAAAACUGAGCUCUACAGGAAGCCCUCUGUGCUCUGCAAAAGCUGGGGUCACUGCUGUUGUGGACCCUGCAAAAGAAAGUCAAACUGGAAUUGCUGACUCUGGAUUUAAUAUAAAGCUGCCUCAACAGAACAAACGCAACCCUUAUGGUCUAGGAAGUUAUAGUGAGACCAGAUUAAACCAGAGACAAGGAGGGACUGGUGAGGGUUCCCUUGGCCUUGCCAAGCAUGUUUUAGGGUCUGAUUCAGCUACAAGGACAGGCAGCUUGGGAGCUGAUCAUUUGCCUGGAAGGAGCUUGCAACAGAAUGUAGCCCUUCAGUUCAAGUCAUCAGUUAAACCUGGACAUGCUCCUUCAAAAUCAGGAGGGAGAGAAAUGGAGAGAUUGUCCUUCCCUCUGAAAGGAAAACCUGAAGUGAGGAGGAAUUGGUUGGGAGCAGUUAGAAAACUCAGGCUGAAGAUACUGGAUAAGAGCUCCCACUUGCAGGUUCCCAGUGAUCGUAUACUAUCAGAAGCAGAUGGUACUGGCUGCAUUGGAGUCUCUCCUUUUGACCAGGAAUCACAGAGCAGAUUAAAGUCAAAUAAAAGUAACUGCUGCUUUGAGGUGCACAAACAGUCUGAAGAGCUGGAAUGUAGAGCAGUUCCUUCCGACAUGGGGCAAAGGGAAGAUGAGCAGCAGCAGAAAAUCAUGGAAGCCACCGUGUGUGCAAAGAAUAGCAAAGUCAGCUCUACUGGGGAGAAGGUUGUUCUCUGGACCAGGGAGGCCGACCGUGUCAUUCUUACCACCUGCCAGGAGCGAGGAGCCCACCUGGAAACCUUCAGUGCCAUCUCACAGGAACUGGGCAAUAAAACUGCUAGUGAGGUGUCCCACCGGUUCAGGGAAUUGAUGAGGCUCUUCCAUACAUCCUAUGAUGGAAGCUCUGAGGAUGAGGAAGAUGCAACAAGCACCAGCAAUACUGACCAGCUGUCAGAUAAGGAUCUGCUCCUCUCUGAAGAAGAACAGGAUGACUAAACUACACUUGUGAGGUCAUUAGCACGUAUCCAGUUAGGCUGAUCCCUAAAUUGCAGUCAGCAGCUGUGCCCCUUCGUGCAGCUACCACUUUGCCUCAGUUUGCAUUUGAAGUGAAAUAAACAUACCCAUCAUCGUUGUACUGAUGUAUCAUGAAGAUGCUUCUAGGAUGCAGACGCACUCGGAGACAGACAGGCAUGGAAGACUUACACACCUUUACUGAGAGGAAGAGCUCUGGGACUGAAGUCUCCAUCAGAGGACAUGCCUCCCUGCAACAAAAAGCCGCAGAGACAGGUUUUACUAUGGCUUUGCCUCACUUGUAAAUGGGUAGCAGGGCAAUAUAGUAGGAUGGGGCUCUGAACAUUGUUCUACAUCUGGGCUUCUAUGGUACGCUGUACAGUUCAUAAAGUCUCAUUCAUUUCUCUAGUGAUUUUAUCCGGCAUGACCGCAAAGUGGUUCACACAAACAGCAGUACUGUGAUGCAGGCAACAACUAGUAUAACGCAUGCUGCAGGGUACUAUGGGAGGAAUGCAGUCUUAAUCAAGGACACCAAUGGUAGAUGUUCAGCCUGAAUUUGUAGGACUACUGCCAAGCUACAGGGAUGUAUUAUUUGGACAAUGUUUCAUCCAUUUAUUUCACAUCAAAACAGGAGACUUUUGAUUUGCAGACAGCUGAACAUUAGAGAAAAGACCCUUUCACAGCUCUUGAAUCCUCUGGAGAAAAAAACCAAACAAAACCAAACCAUUGUUGGUGCAAUUCCAAUGGCUGUCUCUGGUCCAUUUACAGCUGUAUGUUUUUCACACAGUUUGUGCAAGGACUGCUUUCCCUCCUACACCCAUCACCAAUAACUAAAUCCAGAACCUACAGUCCUGCCUUUACUGCAGCUUCUCAGUCUCUCUGCCCUUGAGCAUUGCCACUGGAGACAUGGAGAAGUCAGCUGCUCUUAUGUUCAGAAAGGCCUUAGGAAGGUUUAAGAAGGAAAUAAUUCCAACCACAUGUUUUUACCAAAAAAAAAAAAAAAAAAAAGCAGGCAGAUCAACAGGAUCUGGCCAAGUUUGUAUGUGGGGUAGAGGGAGUAGAAAGUUCUAGACACCAAAACCUACCAACAACAAUAUCUAACAAAGCCUGUUGCCAAGAACAAAACCCUGUUAAUUUAGCAUCUCUGGUUCUAGGAUACAAAUCAAACCCAUUCAGUCUCUACACCUUGAGUUCUGGCUUCUCACCUCCAGUUUGCUGAGGUCCUGUAGAAAAAGGUUCUUUGCAGGAGGGUCUUCUUGAUGAGUCAUCAGAUUACCCUGCCUGAAAAAUAAAUCACAUUAUUUGUACUACAGGAGCACAAAGAGGCCUCAGAGAACAAGGCUGCACUGGGCACUCUACCUGCGUGUAGCAAGACAGUCCCCCCCACCCCAAAGAGCUUAUAGUCUAGUAUCUAGCUCACUAAAUACAACCUGGCUCUUGAGUUGUGAUAAGAACACUGAUCUCUUAUGGUAAUUCCUAAUUAAUUACAAUAGCCAACACUGCAUGUUUCAGAAGACAAUGCAAGAAACCACCUAGUGGACAAUUCUAAUAACCUACCCAGAGGGGAUGAUUCCUUCUAAGCUAGAAGAGCAGCAGAAAGAAUUCUUCUGUUCUAGGUCCAUGGGACUUUACUAAAAGAGGUUGUGUCUGUCAGUUUCUUUAACUUCCUUUAAUUUAUAGCAGGCCAUGGAAGAGAGGGAGCAAGAGGGGAAACUUUUGCAAAUAGAAGAGGACUUCAGUUUUGAACUGUGAAUCCACUUGGGGACACAGUUUCAGGCUGAGAACAGAGAUCUCAAAUCAUGACCUGCCAUGCAGCAGGAGGAAUUAGAUUAAUAAUUAUCUGCAGUCCAGUAUAAUGCAUAACAUACUAGAUCAUUUUCAUACAAACAGGAAUCACAAUCUCUUCCCAAAGAAGAAUUUCCAAUCUAAGAAAAACAAACAUUAGUCUGGGUCCAGGGGUGAGCAACAAAAAUGAUUAGGUGGCUGGAGCACAUGACUUCUGAGGAGAGGCUGAGAGUACUGGGAUUGUUUAGUC